rnacentral:rRNA from 1 species
GACGAACGCUGGCGGCGUGCUUAACACAUGCAAGUCGAACGGAAAGGCCCUGCUUUUGUGGGGUGCUCGAGUGGCGAACGGGUGCGUAACACGUGAGUAACCUGCCCUUGACUUUGGGAUAACUUCAGGAAACUGGGGCUAAUACCGGAUCGGAGCUCCUGCUGCAUGGUGGGGGUUGGAAAGUUUCGGCGGUUGGGGUUGGACUCGCGGCUUAUCAGCUUGUUGGUGGGGUAGUGGCCUACCAAGGCUUUGACGGGUAGCCGGCCUGAGAGGGUGGCCGGCCACAUUGGGACUGCGAUACGGCCCAGACUCCUACGGGAGGCAGCAGUGGGGAAUAUUGCACAAUGGGCGGAAGCCUGAUGCAGCAACGCCGCGUGCGGGAUGACGGCCUUCGGGUUGUAAACCGCUUUCGCCUGUGACGAAGCGUGAGUGACGGUAAUGGGUAAAGAAGCACCGGCUAACUACGUG